rnacentral:rRNA from 1 species
GACGAACGCUGGCGGCGUGCUUAACACAUGCAAGUCGAACGGAAAGGCCCUGCUUUUGUGGGGUGCUCGAGUGGCGAACGGGUGAGUAACACGUGAGUAACCUGCCCUUGACUUUGGGAUAACUUCAGGAAACUGGGGCUAAUACCGGCUAGGAGCUCCUGCUGCAUGGUGGGGGUUGGAAAGUUUCGGCGGUUGGGGAUGGACUCGCGGCUUAUCAGCUUGUUGGUGGGGUAGUGGCUUACCCAGGCUUUGACGGGUAGCCGGCCUGAGAGGGGGACCGGCGACAUGGGGACUGAGAUACGGACCAGACUCCUACGGGAGGCAGCGGUGGGGAAUAUUGCACAAUGGGCGGAAGCGUGAUGCAGCAACGCCGCGUGCGGGAUGACGGCCUUCGGGUUGUAAACCGCUUUCGCCUGUGACGAAGCGUGAGUGACGGUAAUGGGUAAAGAAGCACCGGCUAACUACGUG